rfam:Roseovarius albus strain CECT 7450 genome assembly, contig: 0006
AUGACGGACGCCAAAACCGCCGAUACUCAGGCGGGAUAUGAGAAGGGCUAUACCAUUGCUUUGGCCGCGCAGGCCGGGGCCGACAUGAUCAACUUAUCGG